AAAGUAGGGGAUCGCAAGACCUUGCGCUCUUGGAGUGGCCGAUGCCUGAUUAGCUAGUUGGUGGGGUAAGGGCCUACCAAGGCCACGAUCAGUAGUUGGUCUGAGAGGACGACCAGCCACACUGGGACUGAGACACGGCCCAGACUCCUACGGGAGGCAGCAGUGGGGAAUUUUGGACAAUGGGCGAAAGCCUGAUCCAGCUAUGCCGCGUGAGUGAAGAAGGCCUUCGGGUUGUAAAGCUCUUUCUGUCGAGAAGAAAAGGUCGCGACUAAUAAUCUCGACUCAUGACGGUAUCCACAGAAAAAGCACCGGCUAACUACGUGCCAGCAGCCGCGGUAAUACGUAGGGUGCGAGCGUUAAUCGGAAUUACUGGGCGUAAAGGGUGCGCAGGCGGUUUUGUAAGUCAGAUGUGAAAUCCCCGGGCUUAACCUGGGAAUUGCGUUUGAAACUACAAAGCUAGA
rnacentral:rRNA from 1 species